rnacentral:other from 1 species
GGAAACCUGCUGUGUGCGUGAGGGGUUUUUUAAAACCCACAUUGAUCAUAAGGGAUGCCGAUGCUUCCGCUGUGAAUUGCAGGCCUCCCGGAGCGGCUUUGACCGUUUCCGGACGUUGGAAGCAGAGAAACAGCGGAGAGGCGACCCACCUGCGGCUGCGUGCAGGUUCUUAUAAGAUCCCCACGGCAUCAGCGGGCCGGGC